rnacentral:rRNA from 1 species
GAUGAAUGCUGGCGGUGCGCCUAACACAUGCAAGUCGAGCGGAAAGGCUCUUCGGGGUACUCGAGCGGCGGACGGCUGAGUAACGCGUGGGAACAUGCCCCAAAGUGAGGAAUAACUGCCCGAAAGGGUAGUUAAUACCGCAUAUGAUCUUCGGAUUAAAGGAUUUAUCCGCUUUGGGAGUGGCCCGCGUACGAUUAGGUAGUUGGUGAGGUAAAGGCUCACCAAGCCGACGAUCGUUAACUGGUCUGAGAGGAUGAUCAGUCAGACUGGAACUGAGACACGGUCCAGACUCCUACGGGAGGCAGCAGUGAGGAAUCUUCCACAAUGGGCGAAAGCCUGAUGGAGCGACGCCGCGUGCAGGAUGAAGGCCUUCGGGUUGUAAACUGCUUUUAUAAGUGAAGAAUAUGACGGUAACUUAUGAAUAAGCACCGGCUAACUACGUGCCAGCCGCCGCGGUAA